UGACCGCAACGCCGCGUGAGGGAUGACGGCCUUCGGGUUGUAAACCUCUUUCAGUACCGACGAAGCGCAAGUGACGGUAGGUACAGAAGAAGCACCGGCCAACUACGUGCCAGCAGCCGCGGUAAUACGUAGGGUGCGAGCGUUGUCCGGAAUUAUUGGGCGUAAAGGGCUCGUAGGCGGUUUGUCGCGUCAGGAGUGAAAACUCGGGGCUUAACUCCGAGCCUGCUUCUGAUACGGGCAGACUAGAGGUAUGCAGGGGAGAACGGAAUUCCUGGUGUAGCGGUGAAAUGCGCAGAUAUCAGGAGGAACACCGGUGGCGAAGGCGGUUCUCUGGGCAUUACCUGACGCUGAGGAGCGAAAGUGUGGGGAGCGAACAGGAUUAGAUACCCUGGUAGUCCACACCGUAAACGUUGGGCGCUAGGUGUGGGACUCAUUCCACGAGUUCCGUGCCGCAGCUAACGCAUUAAGCGCCCCGCCUGGGGAGUACGGCCGCAAGGCUAAAACUCAAAGGAAUUGACGGA
rnacentral:rRNA from 1 species